UCGUAAAAAGAAGCACAAAAAAGAAAAAAAUUGUUUAUAUAUUUAAUAAAAGUAAUUUUAAUAAUUUUAGUUUUAGUAUUUUUUAAAGAAAAAAUAAUUUUAAUUAUAGUGAAUUAGUAUUGUAAAAGAAAAUUGAAAUAAUUUGAAAAAUUUUUAUUUUAAAAGAAAAUUUGAUUUAUUGUACCUUGUGUAUCAGGGUUUAUUAAAUAAUUAAUAAUUAUAAUUAUUUUUCUCGAAUUUUAAAGAUUUAAUUAUAUAUAAAAGUUAAUGUUGAAUAAUUAUUUUAAAUAUAUAAUUUGAAAUGAAAUGUUAAUCGUUUUAAAAUAUAUCUAGUUUUUUAAGAAAUAAAUUUAAUUUAGAUUUAUAAAUUUAAUGAAUUAAUUUUUUUAAUUUAUUAAAUUUAUAAAAUUAAUAUUUUAAGGGAUUAGCUUUAAAAUAAAUUUUUAAAUUUUUAAAUUUUAUUUAAUAAAAUGUAAGCUUAAAAUUAGUUAUCAUUAAUAAUUUUGUUAUAAAUUAUUUUUUUUGUAAUAUUAUUUAUUAAAAAUUAAGUUUUUUAUUAAUAUAUGAUCCAAUUAUAUUGAUUAAAAAAUUAAGUUACCUUAGGGAUAACAGCGUAAUUUUUUUUUAGAGUUCAUAUCGACAAAAAAGAUUGCGACCUCGAUGUUGGAUUAAGAGUUAUUUUUAGGUGUAGCAAAAAUUUAUAUUCACCUGUUUAUCAAAAACAUGUCUUUUUGAAUUUAAUUUAAAGUCUAACCUGCCCACUGAAAUUUUUAAAGGGCCGCAGUAUUUUGACUGUGCGAAGGUAGCAUAAUCAAUAGUCUUUUAAUUGAAGGCUUGUAUGAAUGGUUGAAUGAGAUAUAAACUGUCUUUUUUAAAAUUUUUUAGAAUUUUAUUUUUUAAUAAAAAAGUUAAAAUAAAAUUAAAGGACGAGAAGACCCUAUAGAUCUUUAUUUUUAUUUUUUAUAAAUUAAUAAGAUUAAAAAAAUUUAUAAAAAAAUUAAAAAUUUUAUUGGGGUGAUAUUAAAAUUUAAAUAACUUUUAAAAUUAAUAACAUUAAUAUAUGAAUUUAUGAUCCAAUUAUAUUGAUUAAAAAAUUAAGUUACCUUAGGGAUAACAGCGUAAUUUUUUUUUAGAGUUCAUAUCGAUAAAAAAGUUUGCGACCUCGAUGUUGGAUUAAGAGUUAUUUUUAGGUGUAGAAGUUUAAAGUUUAGGUCUGUUCGACCUUUAGAUUCUUACAUGAUCUGAGUUCAAACCGGUGUAAGCCAGGUUGGUUUCUAUCCUUAAUAAAAUAUUAUAUUAUAGUACGAAAGGACCUAAUAUAAAAAAUAUAAAUUUUAAAAUAAAGAAUUAUAAUAAAAUUAAUUACUAUUUUGGCAGAUUAGUGCAAACUAUUUUGGCAG
rnacentral:rRNA from 5 species